UACAGAGGGUGCGAGCGUUGUCCGGAAUCACUGGGCGUAAAGGGUGAGUAGGUGGCUUGGUAAGCGUGUGGUGAAAGUCCGGGGCUCAACCCCGGAUCUGCCGUGCGAACUGCCAGGCUCGAGCACUGUAGAGGCAGGUGGAAUUUCGGGUGUAGCGGUGGAAUGCGUAGAUAUCCGAAAGAACACCAGUGGCGAAGGCGGCCUGCUGGGCAGUUGCUGACACUGAAUCACGACAGCGUGGGGAGCAAACAGGAUUAGAAACCCGUGUAGU
rnacentral:rRNA from 1 species